rnacentral:rRNA from 1 species
UACAGAGGGUGCGAGCGUUAAUCGGAAUUACUGGGCGUAAAGCGUGCGCAGGCGGUUGUGCAAGACAGAUGUGAAAUCCCCGGGCUCAACCUGGGAAUUGCAUUUGUGACUGCACGGCUAGAGUGUGUCAGAGGGGGGUAGAAUUCCACGUGUAGCAGUGAAAUGCGUAGAGAUGUGGAGGAAUACCGAUGGCGAAGGCAGCCCCCUGGGAUAACACUGACGCUCAUGCACGAAAGCGUGGGGAGCAAACAGG